rnacentral:lncRNA from 1 species
UUGUUUAGUCUGGAAGCUGUGAUUUAUGUAAUGCCACUGGAUUAUUUACCUUUACGCUCAUUUUCUUUAGGACUCUCGUCCCCUAGUGGUCCCUGUUUGCCUGGGUAUUACUGCACUUCAAAGGCACGUACACCCAAUCCUGUUAACGACGAGGCGGGCAGUGUUUGUCCCGCGGGCCAUUACUGCCCACCAGGUAGCAGCAAGCCAGAGCUAUGUCCCACUGGCACGAUUUUACCUCAGUCUGGGAUGGGUCACCGUAACGCCUGCCUGCCCUGCCCUGGGGGGAAGUUCUGCCAAGGAGAAGGCCAAGCCAGUGUUUCUGGAACGUGUUACGCUGGGUAUUUCUGUGAGCUUGGAUCCACGCAGCCAGAUCACAAGCGCUGCCCUCCUGGUUUCUACUGUCCUGAAGGCUCUGAAUCCCCAAUCCCGUGUAGUCCUGGAAGCUUCAACUCUGAGAGUGGACAAUGGCAGUCAGCAGACUGUCAGCUCUGCCCAGCUGGAUACUUCUGCAGUGGUUCUGGAGCCCACACCCCUGAGGUGUGUCCUGCUGGGUACUUCUGUCUGCCCGGUACCACCUUCAGUACAGAGCACCCGUGUCCGAAGGGUACCUUUGGCCCCAGGACUGGUGUCACUAGCCAGGCUGACUGUGAGCCCUGCCCAGCAGGCAUGUAUUGCUCAGCACCUGGCCUAUCCCAGCCUUCUGGAUUUUGCUAUCCGGGUUAUCACUGUGCCAAGGGAGCCAUCAGCC